rnacentral:rRNA from 1 species
AGAGUUUGAUCCUGGCUCAGAUUGAACGCUGGCGGUCAUGCCUUACACAUGCAAGUCGAACGGCAGCACGGAGCUUGCUCUGGUGGCGAGUGGCGAACGGGUGAGUAAUAUAUCGGAACGUACCCUGGAGUGGGGGAUAACGUAGCGAAAGUUACGCUAAUACCGCAUACGAUCUAAGGAUGAAAGUGGGGGAUCGCAAGACCUCAUGCUCGUGGAGCGGCCGAUAUCUGAUUAGCUAGUUGGUGGGGUAAAGGCCUACCAAGGCAUCGAUCAGUAGCUGGUCUGAGAGGACGACCAGCCACACUGGAACUGAGACACGGUCCAGACUCCUACGGGAGGCAGCAGUGGGGAAUUUUGGACAAUGGGCGCAAGCCUGAUCCAGCAAUGCCGCGUGAGUGAAGAAGGCCUUCGGGUUGUAAAGCUCUUUUGUCAGGGAAGAAACGGUGAGAGCUAAUAUCUCUUGCUAAUGACGGUACCUGAAGAAUAAGCACCGGCUAACUACGUGCCAGCAGCCGCGGUAAUACGUAGGGUGCAAGCGUUAAUCGGAAUUACUGGGCGUAAAGCGUGCGCAGGCGGUUUUGUAAGUCUGAUGUGAAAUCCCCGGGCUCAACCUGGGAAUUGCAUUGGAGACUGCAAGGCUAGAAUCUGGCAGAGGGGGGUAGAAUUCCACGUGUAGCAGUGAAAUGCGUAGAUAUGUGGAGGAACACCGAUG